AUACGUAGGUGGCAAGCGUUGUCCGGAAUUAUUGGGCGUAAAGCGCGCGCAGGUGGUUCCUUAAGUCUGAUGUGAAAGCCCCCGGCUCCACCGGGGAGGGUCAUUGGAAACUGGGGAACUUGAGUGCAGACGAGGAUAGGGGAAUUCCAAGUGUAGCGGUGAAAUGCGUAGAGAUUUGGAGGAACACCAGUGGCGAAGGCGACUGUCUGGUCUGUAACUGACACUGAGGCGCGAAAGCGUGGGGAGCAAACAGGAUUAGAUACCCUGGUAGUCCACGCCGUAAACGAUGAGUGCUAAGUGUUGGGGGGUUUCCGCCCCUCAGUGCUGCAGCUAACGCAUUAAGCACUCCGCCUGGGGAGUACGGUCGCAAGACUGAAACUCAAAGGAAUUGACGGGG
rnacentral:rRNA from 1 species